rnacentral:rRNA from 1 species
AGGACGAACGCUGGCGGCGUGCUUAACACAUGCAAGUCGAGCGGAAAGGCCCUUCGGGGUACUCGAGCGGCGAACGGGUGAGUAACACGUGAGCAACCUGCCCUUGCUUCGGGAUAGCUCCGGGAAACCGGAAUUAAUACCGAAUAUGAUUUUUGCUGACAUCAGCAGAAGUGGAAAGUUUUUCGGCUAGGGAUGGACUCGCGGCCUAUCAGCUAGUUGGUGAGGUAACGGCCCACCAAGGCGACGACGGGUA